GGGGAUGACAGGCAUAGACGGGUAAACUGCUCGUAUGCUCGCAUGGCGGAGCCCCACUACCUCCCUAAACUAGUGGAAGGAUUAAGUGCCAAGAACUUAGUUGCAAAAGCUAAAUCUAUCGUGUCGCCGUACUUCGGCGCUCGCGACUUAGCAUUCGCCUACGCGUUGUCGUAAGCGACGUUUACGGCUCCAAGGUCCGAAACGGAUACGUAAGCGUUAUAAAUUCCGGACUAUAGAUGAAGGAUGUGCUUACUCCUUCGUCCGAAUCUUGAAAAGCUCGGCAACCAAAGAUUUUGUUGGCUUCACACUUUGAUUACUUAAACCGCUCUUAGCGGAUAAAACCAACUACGCCAUGUAGAAGCGCAUAAGACACUUACCUGCACGGGGGUUCGAUUCCCCCCUUCUCCACAU
rnacentral:tmRNA from 2 species